rnacentral:piRNA from 1 species
UGCUGUAGUUGCAAAGACUUCGGGUGGU